GACGAACGCUGGCGGCGGGCUUAACACAUGCAAGUCGAACGGAAAGGCCCUGCUUUUGUGGGGUGCUCGAGUGGCGAACGGGUGAGUAACACGUGAGUAACCUGCCCUUGACUUUGGGAUAACUUCAGGAAACUGGGGCUAAUACCGGAUAGGAGCUCCUGCUGCAUGGUGGGGGUUGGAAAGUUUCGGCGGGUGGGGAUGGACUCGCGGCUUAUCAGCUUGUUGGUGGGGUAGUGGCUUACCAAGGCUUUGACGGGUAGCCGGCCUGAGAGGGUGACCGGCCACAUUGGGACUGAGAUACGGCCCAGACUCCUAAGGGAGGCAGCAGUGGGGAAUAUUGCACAAUGGGCGGAAGCCUGAUGCAGCAACGCCGCGUGCGGGAUGACGGCCUUCGGGUUGUAAACCGCUUUAGCCUGUGACGAAGCGUGAGUGACGGUAAUGGGUAAAGAAGCACCGGCUAACUACGU
rnacentral:rRNA from 1 species